rnacentral:snRNA from 2 species
GUGCUCACUUUGGCAGCACAUACGCUAAAACUGGAAUGAUACAGAGAAGAUUAGCAUGGCCCCUGUGCAAGGAUGACAUGCAAAUUAAAAAAAAAAAUUUUUUGUUU